GAUGAAGAACGCAGCGAAAUGCGAUAAGUAGUGUGAAUUGCAGAAUUCAGUGUAUCAUCGAAUCUUUGAACGCACAUUGCGCCCCUUGUUAUUCCAUGGGGCAUGCCUGUUCGAGCGUCAUUUGUACCUUCAAGCUCUGCUUGGUGUUGGGUGUUUGUCUCGCCUCUGCGUGUAUACUCGCCUCAAAACAAUUGGCAGCCGGCGUAUUGAUUUCGGAGCGCAGUACAUCUCGCGCUUUGCACUCAUAACGACGACGUCCAAAAGUACAUUUUUACACUCUUGACCUCGGAUCAGGUAGGGAUACCCGCUGAACUUAAGCAUAUCAAUAAGCGGAGGA
rnacentral:misc_RNA from 1 species